AAACUUCAGACCUGUUUUCUUUCUGUACAGUUUCUGGGUGUCACUGACUUCCAUCAGUUAAGGUCAUUCUGUCCAACAAGCUGAACAACUGCCAUUCAGUUUGGGCCUCUGGUCCACGGCCAGGUACCCACGCACGUAUUUCUACUUCUUCAGGCUGCUGGGAUCCUCAGCUUUCCAACAAAGAAUAACAUGACAGCAAUGUGACAGCCGCCUCGGGUUCCUGCCACCGUGCCUUUACCACCACGACAGUGUGACCCUGCUUAAACCGUCAGCCAGAACGCACUCUUCCUCCUUCUCAGUUGGUUCGUGACCAGCAGCCUUCUGGGGAAACUUUUCCUUGCAGUCACAAAGAAUCAACUUGUCAUCUACAUCCACCUCACCCACCCAGCCAGCGCUAAUGAGGGGCUUAGUUAAAAGCGGCAGGAGCCCUACCCAUUGGGAGUUUACACAGCAAGCAUAAUGGCCAUCUAUGGAGCGAGGCUCUGCUCCCUUCUACAAGAGAGAGAAGCCAGUUCCUGGGCCCGACUCUGACUUCACAGGAUCCAGAAUUGUAUUUCUCAGAGAGACUUCUGGCAGAUUUCUUUUAUUGAACUCGGAGAUGAUACCUCCAGUGACCAGAACUAAAGAGCUUGCCCAUCAAUUGGUCCACCAGCUCUCUCUCUCGAGUAUCAGCCAUGACUCCUGCUGGCAGGAGUCAUAAGCUUCCAUUCUCUUGACUUUCUGCUCCUGUUUCCUGGUCGCUCCUGAGCACAGCUGGGCUAUCAGGAGCACCCAUCGUUGGCUGCAGUCUCCUCUGUGUCCUUUUGCAGACCUGCCCAUCCAUACCUCCUGGACUCAGGCCCCAUGCCCAACUGCUAACGCGUUUCCACUUCCACAGGCAACUCGAACAAACACACUCAUAACGUCUCUCUAUAAAACCAUGCUUUCUUGCUGUCAUAAUCC